CUACCUUUUGGAAGGAGUAACAGGAAUACAGAGUACUGGGCUAAUGACGAUUUAUGGGUUAAGAAUGACAACUUUCAAGAAGAAAACUUCCAAACUUCUCCCCUGCACAUUCCCAAUCAAACAGUUGAAUCAAUCGCCUACUAUUAGUUGGAAAUGACGGCUUUCGUUGACUCCACGCAGCUAACCACUCGUAUUGCAACACUUGCCAUUUUUAAUGAGCUCUUUUCCCAUCACUUUAAAACAUUCUGAUCAACACGCCUGGUAUGGGCAGAGAGUUAAUCAAUCGCAGGUUCAGGAAGCAAAAUCUGGAAUUAUAUUUGUCAGCAGGAUCUCUGUCAAUCACGAUCCACGCACAAUUCAUCAAAGCAGCAAGCAGAAAAUUGCUUAAUCUCUAUUGUCGAACAAGGGUCGAUCCCCUUUGUACAGGUGGAAAUCGCUUGGAAGAAAGCCUUGGAUACAAGAAAAUUAAGAUUCACAAGUUUCCAAAAAGCAGAAGCUGUUACCAAGGUUACAGCCCCGAGAAGGUCAAACAGGAGACAGAUCCGACGUGGAGAUGGGAAGAAAAUGAGUGGAGAGAAAGAGCCCAGAAAAUGGAGGAGACAUAAGUUUGAAGUUGUUCAAAUCAAUAUUCAGGCCAUGACUAAUUUUCUAAGCUUGUGUGUACAUUAGGUUCCCAAUUGAAGCCACAUAUUUUGAAUACAAUAUAUCUUGGAAUGAUAUUCCUUCAUUCUCAAUGUAGUUUCUGAUUGAUGUGUACUUUAAUGUUGAUUCUAGUCUGUACUGGCUUGAUUAAUUUAAUCAUUUUCUU